AUUGCUUCUCAGCCUUUUGGCUAAGAUCAAUUGUAGCAUCUGUUCUUAUCAGUUUAACAUGUGACACGUCCUCUAUCGGAGGACAACAUAUUAAAUGGAGUUUUGGAGCCGGAGAUAUAGAAUAGGAACUUGCUCUGUCCACUCCGCACAUCGACCUGGGAUUGCAGAACCUCGGGCGGAUUGGGGGGGGGGGG